CAGCCAUGCCGCGUGCAGGAAGAAUGCCCUAUGGGUUGUAAACUGCUUUUAUUUGGGAAUAAACCCAGGGUCGUGCACCCUGGCUGAAGGUACCAAAUGAAUAAGCACCGGCUAACUCCGUGCCAGCAGCCGCGGUAAUACGGAGGGUGCAAGCGUUAUCCGGAAUCAUUGGGUUUAAAGGGUCCGCAGGCGGGCUUAUAAGUCAGUGGUGAAAGCCUACAGCUCAACUGUAGAACUGCCAUUGAUACUGUAAGUCUUGAAUUCGGUCGAAGUGGGCGGAAUAUGACAUGUAGCGGUGAAAUGCUUAGAUAUGUCAUAGAACACCGAUAGCGAAGGCAGCUCACUAGGCCUGGAUUGACGCUCAGGGACGAAAGCGUGGGGAUCAAACAGGAUUAGAUACCCUGGUAGUCCACGCCGUAAACUAUGAUUACUCGUUUUCGGCACUUAAGUGUGUCGGAGACCAAGCGAAAGUGAUAA
rnacentral:rRNA from 1 species